rnacentral:rRNA from 7 species
UCUCCGUAGGUGAACCUGCGGAGGGAUCAUUACACAAU